rnacentral:tRNA from 1 species
UCUUAGAUGACUGAGUAAUAGGUAUUAGAUUUUUAAUCUAAAAACGGCAAAUUGUCUGCCUCUGAGAA